AUGGAAGGAUGCGCGGUGCGGCGGGGCAGCUGUCCUCUUCUCCCCGGACCCAGCGCCUGGAGAGCCAGCCCUGCAGGGUGGGCUGGGCGAGCCAAACUGCGUUCCUGGUGCAGGGCUUCGGGUCUCCCUAACAGACCUUAUACGCUGACCGGCGGCCGCCACGGCAGUGUCUCUUUGCUAAGAGAUCCAGGGACGACCACUCUCGUCCAACAGCGGUCGCUCCACCAAUCCUGGGAGAAGCGAAUCGUUUUCUCAGCGUGCCCUGUCAGCUGCUCAUGGUGCCCAGAGAGGAAUUUUAGUGGCAACAUUCCGGCUGUCACGCCACUGAAAUUGCCAGGCCACUCCAAGUCAGAAGGACCACCAGGAAAAGUCAGGGAGAGAACCACCAUCAGGUCCCAGCCUCUUUUUGUGACAAGGACUAGAGGGUUUGGGUCUGCAGUGGGCUGGCUCCCGCUGGGCUCACCUGUCCUGUAG